rnacentral:rRNA from 1 species
UACGUAGGCAGCGAGCGUUGUUCGGAGUUACUGGGCGUAAAGAGCGCGCAGGCGGUCGUUCAAGUCGCGUGUGAAAGCCCCCGGCUCAACUGGGGAGGGUCACGCGAUACUGAUCGACUCGAAGGCAGGAGAGGGUAGUGGAAUUCCCGGUGUAGUGGUGAAAUGCGUAGAUAUCGGGAGGAACACCAGUGGCGAAGGCGGCCCCCUGGACCGGUACUGACGCUGAGGCGCGAAAGCGUGGGUAGCAAAAGGG